rnacentral:lncRNA from 1 species
GGGAAGAGAGCCUGAGUCUCUGCUUUGCACCCAAGGGAAGAUCUGUUUCCACGGCUCCUGCAAUGCGUGAGAACCUGCUCCAUAAGUGAGGCAGAUGAACCUGGGGGAUGGAUGAAUUAAAGUUCAGAGGACUUCCUUCUGAGGAGACCAGGACUCAUGUCCCAGAAGUCCCUGUUUCUAGCAUCAGAGAGACAUAAACUUCCCCUACAGAUGAAGGACCUACUUGUUACCAGACUUUUUAUGUCCAAAGGAUCAUUGCUUCCAUUGGAGAACAUGUUAAUAGUCCCAUGGGUGACCUGGGCCUGUGACAGGCAUCCUCUUUGUGAGCUUGCUGCAGUCAGUCUGAAUAAACACUACAAUGACCAAGCCUGACACCCACCAAGAAACCAAGGACCUGU